rnacentral:lncRNA from 1 species
GAGCCGGGCGCGGGGCGCAAGAGCGGAGCUGCGCGAGCCGCUGCGGAGGGAAGGGCUCCUAGCCAAUUGGGGUCUUUGAGGCGAAUGCGAGGCUGGGGCCGGUUGCCUACCGGCCGCUUCUCGCCGAGGCAGUCCAGACUUUUCCCCCGGCGGUGCCCGCUCCAAGACAGCAUCUGUCAACGCUCCUCUUCUCCCCUCCUCCUCCUGCCGGGCCGGGCUCCGCCGGCUGCGGCCGAGAGGACGCGGGACCCGGCGCGGUGAGCCCAUCAGCUGUCAGGCGAGCGGCGAAGCGGCUGGAGGGCGGCGAGAGACACACAAAGAACGCGGUGGGCGGCGGCGGCGAAAGGGGACGGCAACUCCUCCCCGCGCCCGCCGGUGCCACCGCCGGCCGUGCUUGUUCCGAGGCCGCGCAGACAAUGCGGCCGGGCUCGUCCCCGCGUGCCCCAGAGUGCGGAGCGCCCGCGCUCCCCCGACCCCAACUUGACCGUCUCCCGGCUCGCCCAGCCCCCUCCCGGGGUAGGGGCGCCCCCUCCCUCCGGUGGCCGGCGAAGGAAGUCGGUCCGCGGCCGCAGAUCCCGGCAACUUGCGAACCGGGAAAAGUUUGCGGCGCCUCCGCGGGGCGGCGCGACGCGGCCCGCCCCUCGCGUCCGCGGUCAUCGCGGGUGACUUUCUCGACUCGUCGUCAGCCGGGGCCGCAGCGCGGCCGGUGGGGACUGCGGGGCGGGCCGGAGUCCGUCCGAGGGCUCCCGCACCUCGGGCUGCGGAUUUCAGGUACUCCACUGGGCAUUUUCUCUUCAUGGAGCUUAUAGCAACAAAAGUGUUUUACAAAACACCAGACAUGUUGGCAUCAUCUCUUAGUUGGGCCAUGUGGCCAGGGAACCCUUCAUGAAACCACCUCUGCAGUCCUGGAGAGUUGCUGUAGAAGAAGGAAAAGAGAGGAAGACAACACAACACAGGAGGGGAUAAGUACCUCUGGACACAAUGGAAGUAGUAGUUGUUGAGCAGAGGGAAAGGGAUAGGAGAAGGAUGUGGACUGCAGUGCUGCAGUGCCAGGUAAUAACUUUGAUCAUGUACCUCCUUGGCUCAGGUGCUGUCUCUUCUACUCUCCUCCUUACUUGUACUACCUUAUUUAGCACUUAAUUAUAUACUUUCUUGACUCACUUUGAGACACACUGAUUAUGUGGUCUGCCUCAAAGACAGAAUCCUAGUUUUGGAUUUUAGCAUUACUGAUCUAUAGCCUUGCAGGGGCUUAAGGAUGGCAGCUGUCUCUCUCCCUUGGGAUCUAGCUUUUGCAAAUAUUGAAGGGAAGAGAUUUCUUUGAUCUUAUAGGAAUAGAUCCACAGUUCCUCUCCAGAUUUGCUUUUAUAGAGAAGUGUGUGUCACCAAAACAAUGGAGAUACGGUCAGAGAGGCCCCUACCCCCAGAAUUUUAAUAUAAUUUUACUUUCUGGGGCAUUUAUUCUUGACAAAUACUUUCUCUCCUAUCAGCUCACUUGUUCCUCACAAAAACCCUAUAAGAUAUUAAUAUUAUUAAACAGACCCCUAUGAAGCACCUCAAGUCUUUCUCUCUUCCCACUUCCAUUCUUGCACACCUUUUGCUAGACUAGUCUCUGCGUUCAUCACAUCAGGUUUCUAAAAUAAAAGUCCCCUAAUAACUUUCUAUUUGUUCUCUCAUCAUAUUGAACCUUUUUUGCCUGGCUUAUAAGGUGGCCUUAAAACCCCAUUUUCCUCUAAACAUUGUCUCUGUAGUUCAGGAAUAUGGCAGGCUCAACACUAUGCUUGAGCCCAUAUUGCUUCCCUCAUUAGUGAUGCCUCCUCUCAGACCACCCAGAUUCUACUCAUUCUUCAAUUUCCAGCUUCUCCUUGGAGCCUUCCCAGAUCAUUAGCUUCUUAAAAAUCCCAGCUUUCUCUGAAUUCUGAUGGUAGCCCCCGUUAUUUGGACAAUUAUGUCCUGGUCUUAAAGUCCUAAUGGGAAAAAAAAGUACAUGAUGGACUUCAUGUAGAGAAGAAAGCACUGGACUGAGUUUUAAGACAGCUGCUAAGGAGCUGUGUGAGCCAAACCAGGUUACUUUACCUCUCUGGAUCUAUAUUUGCUGAUCUGUUAAGUGGAGACAAUUGGGUCAGAUAAUCUUGGUGGUCUUUGCUUAUUCUGAGGUUCUUGGACAACUUGGCCUAGUUCACGUGGGAUGGGAUUGAAGAUCUUACUGAGUUCUUGGAUGGAAAUGUCAGUAAUGGGCACUUAGUGCCUUCAGGACUUGUUCUAUACUAUCCCAGAAAUUUCUGAUGCUAAACUUGGCAAUUUUUAAAUGUCAUAUUCCUUUUCUCCAAACUCUUUAACCACAAGAAUUCAGGGAAGGUUAUGGGGGGUGACUUAGUUAUCUGGAUAAUACAUAUUGUGGACAAUAUAGCAUUAUCCUUGGGAAUGAUUUCAUAUUGUUGAAUAAAUAGGAUCAACUUCUUGAUAAACCUUAGUCCCAAGCAUUUCAUCUUCAUUGGAUAGUGUUACAUAGUAAUAUAUUUAUGUUUUCUUUUAAUCAUUUCAUAACUUGGAAAAUACUAACAUAGUCAAAACUCUAGGGUAGGUGAUACAUGAGUUUCUGUAGUAAUCUGGUUGGAGACAUGUUGUAAUUCUGUAUAUAUAUGUACAUUUAUCCCAUGCAUGUUAUGCCUAAACUAAGACGGAUACCCCUGAAUUAAGAGGUGCUGUUAUACAUUGACCAGGCUUAAGAAUAUCUCUUUAAAGUGUGUCGACAUUUAAUUGACCUUUGGAAGUUCAUUCUGUUAAUCAUACUCAAAGUGCUAAAGCUAUGGUUGACUGCUCUGGUGUUUUUAUAUUCAUUCGUGCUUUAGCAUAUAAAUUCUUCAGCAUAAUUGCUACUUAUUUAGCAAGAGUUUCCUUUAUUUGAAAAUGUGAGUUGUGCUUGUAUUUUUGUGUCUUUCUUUCUUUCUUUCUUUUUUUAAACUUUGCUUCAGGCUGGGUAGUGGUAGAGGUUUGAAUUAAAAUGUUUUCCUGUCAGUA